AGUCGAGCGGUAAGGCCCUUCGGGGUACACGAGCGGCGAACGGGUGAGUAACACGUGAGCAACCUGCCCCUGACUCUGGGAUAAGCGGUGGAAACGCCGUCUAAUACCGGAUACGACCCGCCCCUGCCUGGGGUGCGGGUGGAAAGUCUUUUCGGUUGGGGAUGGGCUCGCGGCCUAUCAGCUUGUUGGUGGGGUAACGGCCUACCAAGGCGAUUACGGGUAGCCGGCCUGAGAGGGCGACCGGCCACACUGGGACUGAGACACGGCCCAGACUCCUGCGGGAGGCAGCAGUGGGGAAUCUUGCGCAAUGGGCGAAAGCCUGACGCAGCGACGCCGCGUGGGGGAUGACGGCCUUCGGGUUGUAAACCUCUUUUACCACUCACGCAGGCCCCGGGUUCUCUCGGGGUUGACGGUAGGUGGGGAAUAAGGACCGGCUAACUACGUGCCAGCAGCCGCGGUAAUACGUAGGGUCCGAGCGUUGUCCGGAAUUAUUGGGCGUAAAGAGCUCGUAGGCGGUGUGUCGCGUCUGCUGUGAAAGACCGGGGCUUAACUCCGGUUUUGCAGUGGAUACGGGCAUGCUAGAGGUAGGUAGGGGAGACUGGAAUUCCUGGUGUAGCGGUGAAAUGCGCAGAUAUCAGGAGGAACACCGGUGGCGAAGGCGGGUCUCUGGGCCUUACCUGACGCUGAGGAGCGAAAGCGUGGGGGAGCGAACAGGAUUAGAUACCCUGGUAGUCCACGCCGUAAACGUUGGGCGCUAGGUGUGGGGGCUUUCCACGGUUCCCGUGCCGCAGCUAACGCAUUAAGCGCCCCGCCUGGGGAGUACGGCCGCAAGGCUAAAACUCAAAGGAA
rnacentral:rRNA from 1 species